rnacentral:rRNA from 1 species
GUUGACCUCGGAUCAGGUAGGAAUACCCGCUGAACUUAAGCAUAUCAAUAAGCGGAGGAAAAGAAACCAACC